rnacentral:RNase_P_RNA from 1 species
GCCGCCAGACGGCCGCGUCCGGCGCAAGCCGGCCGAGGAAAGUCCGGGCUCCACAGGGCACAGUGACUGGUAAAUCCAGCCGUCUCCAGUUGCAGGGGGAUAGGGACAGUACAACAGAAAGCGAACCGCCUGCGCCGGGCAACCGGCGUCGGUAAGGGUGAAAAGGCGGGGUAAGAGCCCACCGCUCCCUCCGCAAGGCGGGAGGCAUUGCAAACCCCACUGGGAGCAAGCCCAGACCGUGGCGAGGUGCUGCCCGCACCAUUCGAGCCGCGAGUAGGGCGCAUGAGGGCCGGCCGCAAGGCCGGCAUCGAGAGAAAUGGCCGUCCUCGACAGGACCCGGCUUAUCGGCGGCCUCU